rnacentral:rRNA from 1 species
AUUGAACGCUGGCGGCAGGCCUAACACAUGCAAGUCGAACGAGUGCCGGACGGGUGAGUAAUGUCUGGGAACCUGCCUGACGGAGGGGGCUAACUACUGUUAACGGUAGCUAAUAAUGCAUACCCGCAGAUGUGCCCAGAUGGGUUUAGCUUGUUGGUGGGGUAACGGCCCACCAAGGCGACGAUCCCUAGCUGGUCUGAGAGGAUGACCAGCCACACUGGAACUGAGACACGGUCCAGACUCCAACGCGAGGCAGCAGUGGGGUAUAUUGCACAAUGGGCGCGAGCCUGAUGCAGCCAUGCCGCGUGUAUGAAGAAGGCAUUCGGGUUGUAAAGUACUUUCAGCGGGGAGGCGUUACCCGCAGAAGAAGCACCGGCUAACUCCGUGCCAGCCGCCGCGGUAAUUC